GGGGCGGGGCGGGCGGCGCUGCUGACACCCGGCCUCGCUGAGUCCCAGCCUGCAGCCCUGGCGAGCCCGCCAGUGAGAGCGGGCCUGUCCCGGCUCCCUAGCGCCGCUCUGGCCGGGCCAGCCCCGCACUCCCCUGCCCGCCAGCGCCCGCGGUCGGCGCUCAGCCAGGGGGGACGCGGGGGAUUUGUGACGUGCGGCCCUUUGUUCCCCAGCCGCUCGGCGCGGCGGCCGCUGGCGCUGCCGUGGGGGGCGAGGGAGCCGGUCGGAUACGCUCCGUUUGGCGGGGAAAGGCUGAUUUGCUGGAGCAAAUUUACAGGCGAGCAGGCGGCUGAGGGAAUAACUUUUAUUGGCCCAGCGUCUCUCGUGCACAGUCAAUCUGUGGAAUCUUUGCCAGAAGAUGUGAAGGCCAAGACUAUAACAGGGCUGGAGGCUGCAUGCUGUUUGAUCUUCAUUCUCCCAGGGAUGGGAGGGUCUGGGAGACCCAGCCAGCUGUCGCAAAAGCACAAGUAGCAUGCACUGGGUGCUGUUGCGGAGAGGUAGAGGACUUCUGGGGGUACAUUUGCCCUGUCCAACAAGCAUGGAGUCCCGGUUCAUGGGCCGCCCAACUAUGGCAUUGUGCAGUGCGAUCCUGGGUUGUAGGACAUGGAGGAGUGGUCUCAGGACCUGGUGUGAGUGGAACAGGAGCUUGCACUCUUGCAGCCAUUAGCACAAGCAGCUGCUCAAACCGGGUUUUCUGCUGUAUUCAGUCUUCCUCCCUCAAGCAACAUUCCUGCUCCAGAAGCUGCGCUGAAAAUCUAUCAGUGUGCUCUACAGACUGUCUGUGCCUUUCCACUCCUAUGAAUCCUUUCCCCUUUAGUAUUGUGUCUGCUUGUUGACUCCAUUCAGGAUGUCCACUAUGAGUUAAUUACAGAAAUGCCUCCUCUUUGGCCACUCCUUGACCGUUCAAAAUCCCAGGCUCCUGCUGGACCGUGGCUGGGCGGCAGAGGUGGAAGUGCCUGAAAGCAGACAUCAAACAGUACGUUGUCUCAGUACUUCAAAAAAAAGUUCAGUGCAUCCUCAGAAAAAAGUGCCUGUGGAAUCUCAAAGCCAAAAAAAUGAUACUUUGUAAAACUCAGCUUCACUAUGUUCUCAGAUGAAUACUUCUGUUCCUAGAAGCUCCAUGGCCAUAAUUGAGUUAAGCAGAGUGAAAAGAGUGCACACAUAAUGGUAAGAUGACAUUUACAAAUGCUAUAUGUUUAAAAAUUGCAGACUGUUGUAGCCAGGGGCAGUGGGGUUAUGCCAUGGUUUACUACCUAAGGUUUCUCAGUCCUUUCAGGCAUUCCACAGUCUGGGGGACAUGACAAUCCUGGAGUUUCCUGAAUGCCAAAGAGAUUUUAUGCCAUGCUACCAGUGGUAAGCCAGCUGUCUAUGCUACAGAGGUUUCAAGCUUAUGGUGACUGAGCAGCACAUCUAUGAGUGGGGUGGACCACAGUCCUGAUUAGGAGAGCCCAGAAAAUAUACCCUUUCCUGAAAUGAGACUACCCAUUGGGAAUUCCUACUCUGCGAAAAGUUUGCAACUAUCAGCACCCAGGAUUGGGUCAAAAUUAAAGGGAAAUCAACAGGAUGCCGUGUUAGCAUCCACACGGUUUACUGUCUCCCUAUAGCUUACAACGCAGCCUGCUCUGACUAAAUAUACUAUGGACUACAUGCAAACACAUCUGACAAUAUGGACUCUCAAAGAACUACAUGGACAGUCACCCCCCUUUGCCCAAUAUAUUUGUAUACUGCACACAAUUCCCCCCCCCACACACACACCCUGGGGUAUUUCAGACAUUGAUUUACUCACCCACUCUCUACAUUUUCCCCAACCUUCAUGUACAGUUUACAGGUAGCUUGUUACGCUAUGGCAUACUAAAAGGGAAGGCAGUAUUCUUUCUUUUAACGCCCCAGCACAUCUUUAAGCAUUUGCAAGUAUCUAAAAAAACUUUAAAGUUAAAUGCUUGUUUAACAGUUGUUUGUGUUUCUUGGUCUCCAUUUUGAAUGCCGUGUGGUGGUGGUGUGGAAAGUGAUGCCAAGAUGCUGGGGUACAUUCCACCAUUAGUAGAUACACAUGACUACUUAUGUCCUGUAAUAAAAAGUGCAAUGGGUCAUAAACUGGAAAUCCCUCCCAUUUGACUAUUAUCAUUAACAAUAAAAAAGGAGCCAAACACUU